rnacentral:misc_RNA from 1 species
GUAUUUUGAAUUGUUUUAUUCAUAAUAUUUUUCAGACAAAGAGUUGAGAUAAUAGUUGAUGUUUGGGGCUGAUCAAAAGAGACCAACCCUGACAUUGCACACAAGGUGGAUAUAGAUUUAAAAAAGUGCCAUAAAACACUUAUUAUGAAUGAUCCUUCCGCAGGUUCACCUACGGAAA